GGGGAAUAUUGGACAAUGGGCGAAAGCCUGAUCCAGCAACGCCGCGUGAGGGAUGACGGCCUUCGGGUUGUAAACCUCUUUCAGUAGGGACGAAGCGAAAGUGACGGUACCUACAGAAGAAGGACCGGCCAACUACGUGCCAGCAGCCGCGGUAAUACGUAGGGUCCGAGCGUUGUCCGGAAUUAUUGGGCGUAAAGGGCUCGUAGGCGGUUUGUCACGUCGGGAGUGAAAACUCAGGGCUCAACCCUGAGCGUGCUUCCGAUACGGGCAGGCUAGAGGUAUGCAGGGGAGAACGGAAUUCCUGGUGUAGCGGUGGAAUGCGCAGAUAUCAGGAGGAACACCGGUGGCGAAGGCGGUUCUCUGGGCAUUACCUGACGCUGAGGAGCGAAAGCAUGGGGAGCGAAC
rnacentral:rRNA from 1 species